rnacentral:rRNA from 1 species
AUUGAACGCUGGCGGCAUGCCUUACACAUGCAAGUCGAACGGUAACAGGGCGUCGGAUGCUGACGAGUGGCGAACGGGGGAGUAAUACAUCGGAACGUGCCCAGACGUGGGGGAUAACGGGGCGAAAGCUUUGCUAAUACCGCAUACGAUCUAAGGAUGAAAGCAGGGGACGGCAAGGCCUUGUGCGGGUGGUGCGGCCGAUGGCAGAUUAGGUAGUUGGUGGGAUAAAUGCUUACCAAGCCGACGAUCUGUAGCUGUUCUGAGAGGACGACCAGCCACACUGGGACUGAGACACGGCCCCGACUCCGACGGGAGGCAGCAGUGGGGAAUUUUGGACGAUGGGGCAAAGCCUGAUCCAGCAAUGCCGCGUGCAGGAUGAAGGCCUUCGGGUUGGAAACUGAUUUUGUACGGAACGAAAAGGCGCUGGCUAAUACCUGGGGCACAUGACGGUACCGUAAGAAUAAGCACCGGCUAACUACGUG